rnacentral:rRNA from 1 species
GUAGUCUGCAACUCGACUACAUGAAGCUGGAAUCGCUAGUAAUCGCGGAUCAGAAUGCCGCGGUGAAUACGUUCCCGGGUCUUGUACACACCGCCCGCCACACCAUGGGAGUCGGGAAUGCCCGAAGCCAGUGACCCAAGCGAGAGCAGGGAGCUGUCGAAGGCAGGCCGGAUAACUGGGGUGAAGUCGUAACAAGGUAAC